rnacentral:snRNA from 1 species
AUCGCUUCUCGGCCUUUUGGCUAAGAUCAAGUGUAGAAAGUGUUCUAGUUUCAU